UACGUAGGGGGCUAGCGUUGUCCGGAAUCAUUGGGCGUAAAGAGCGUGUAGGCGGUCCGGUAAGUCCGCUGUGAAAGUCGGGGGCUCAACCCUCGAAUGCCGGUGGAUACUGUCGGGCUAGAGUGCGGAAGAGGCGAGUGGAAUUCUCGGUGUAGCGGUGAAAUGCGUAGAUAUCGAGAGGAACACCUGCGGCGAAGGCGGGUUGCUGGGCUGAUACUGACGCUGAGGCGCGAAAGCCAGGGGAGCGAACGGG
rnacentral:rRNA from 1 species